UAGCGUAUACUAAAGUUGUUGCGAUUAAAAAGCUCGUAGUUGGAUCUCAGGCAUGGGCGCACGGUCCGCCUCGCGGCGGUCACUGUGUGAUUUGUUUCCCAUCCUACGCUUCCCGGUUUUUCAGCCCAUGGUGCUCUUGAUUGAGCGUUUUGGGUGGCCGGAACGUUUACUUUGAAGAAAUUAGAGUGUUCAAAGCAGGCACGUCGCCUGAAUAAUGGUGCAUGGAAUAAUGGAAUAGGACCUCGGUUCUAUUUUGCUGGUUUUCGGAACACGAGGUAAUGAUUAAGAGGGGCAGACGGGGGCAUCCGUAUUGCGGUGUUAGAGGUGAAAUUCUUGGAUCAUCGCAAGACGAACAACUGCGAAAGCAUUUGCCAAGCAUGUUUUCAUUAGUCAAGAACGAAAGUCAGAGGUUCGAAGACGAUCAGAUACCGUCGUAGUUCUGACCAUAAACGAUGCCAACUAGCGAUUCGCUGGUGUUGCUUCAUCGACUCUGCGGGCAGCUUCCGGGAAACCAAAGUUUUCGGGUUCCGGGGGAAGUAUGGUUGCAAAGCUGAAACUUAAAGGAAUUGACGGAAGGGCACCACCAGGAGUGGAGCCUGCGGCUUAAUUUGACUCAACACGGGAAAAACUCACCCGGUCCGGACACUGUAAGGAUUGACAGAUUGAUAGCUCUUUCUUGAUUCGGUGGGUGGUGGUGCAUGGCCGUUCUUAGUUGGUGGAGCGAUUUGUCUGG
rnacentral:rRNA from 1 species